rnacentral:tRNA from 1 species
GCCAAGUUAGUCUAAUGGUAGGGCACCUGAGGGACAUAACCUCUGAUUUUUAGGGCUCCCAGGUGAGCUAGGUUCGAAUCCUGGGCUUGGCG